rnacentral:lncRNA from 1 species
AGAAACACACUCCAUGUAAGAGGAAGCGUAGCUGUACUGUCGGUGUAAGGCGCAGCAGCGCUUCGCGGCGGCUGGCGGCCCUCAUUAGCGUUCAUCCCAAGCACCGUCACAAAAGAGGUGCUUAACAGAAGCUAGUCCGUGCAAAAUAAAGCCUCUAGUAAUUGCCUCACAUGAAGUGAAGUACUAAGGCAGUGCUGAGUGAUGCAGAGACAGGGCUGCUGGGCUGCUUUCAGGAAGACCUAUUAUUCAGGUAUUCACAGAAGGCAUUCUGGGUCAGCACGGUGUUUGCAAAGAGUAGAUGCGGCAUGAAAAUACAAGGGAUGCGAUUGGAAGUGAUCCUGUUCUUCAAGCAUAAGUAACACUCCAGCACCAGCUUGGUACUGCACAGUGUCCCCUCUCAUCUGGCCUCGCACAGCCUG